rnacentral:rRNA from 1 species
GACGAACGCUGGCGGCGUGCCUAACACAUGCAAGUCGAACGAGGUCCAAGGGAGCUUGCUCCCUGAAGACCUAGUGGCGAACGGGUGAGUAACACGUGAGAAACCUGCCCUCGAGUGGGGAAUAACCCGGGGAAACCCGGGCUAAUACCGCAUACGCUCCUCUGGUCGCAUGGCCGGAGGAGGAAAGUUUUUCGCUCAAGGAGGGUCUCGCGGCCUAUUAGCUAGUUGGCGGGGUAACGGCCCACCAAGGCUACGAUGGGGAGCUGGUCUGAGAGGAUGAUCAGCCACAAUGGAACUGAGACGCGGUCCAUACUCCUACGGGAGGCAGCAGUGAGGAAUAUUCCGCAAUGGGCGAAAGCCUGACGGAGCAAUACCGCGUGCGCGAUGACGCCCUUCGGGGUGUAAAGCGCUGUCAGUGGGGAAGAAGAUCUGACGGUACCCACAGAGGAAGCCCCGGCUAAUUACGUGCCAGCCGCCGCCGUAA